UCUCUCCCCCACUCGCGUCGAGACGACAUCUCUCGCGACUCGGAAGAUUAUAUGUUUUGUACAAUGAAACAAGAUAUGGGACGGUAAGCCGCCUUAUCGAAACGAUCUCCGUUCACUGGAAAGAUCUGUAUAAGCCCGACCAAGUAAUUUGCAAGCCACCACAUCAAACGCACUUUGCGAGGAAUGCCAUCGAGGGAGUAGCGUAAGGGAACGAGUGGAAACUGCUAGCUACGGCUUGAAAUCACUUGAAAGUCCUUCAGCCUUUCGUGCCUGCGCUGAAAUCGGACGCGGGAACCUCAAUGCACUCCAGCAGUUUUGCGUUUCUAGUGGACAAACAGUUGCGAACUUGCAAGACCGGUACACGUAGCAAAACAUCACUGUGCGAGAAAUAGAAGGGGGAAAAAUCAACCUGCCAAUUUAAUAGUUGUAUGAAAGUUGAUCAAAUCAAAUUU